rnacentral:snRNA from 1 species
AACUUUGCACAGUGGCAGUAUCAUAUAAAUGAUGUUUAUCUGAGGCAAAACUACUGCUAAUUGAAAACUUUUCCCUAUACCCCGCCAUGACGACUUGAAAUAUAGUCGGGAUUCUGCAAUCUGUAUUUGGGGUAAAAAUGGGAGUUCAUAACCC